rnacentral:rRNA from 1 species
CGAGACCUCAGGUCAGGCGGGGCUACCCGCUGAUA